rnacentral:rRNA from 1 species
AGUGAACGCUGGCGGCGUGCUUAACACAUGCAAGUCGAACGAGAACGGAUUAUAGCUUGCUAUAAUUGUCAGCUAAGUGGCGCACGGGUGAGUAAUGUAUAGGUAAUAUGCCUCUUACUAAGGGAUAACAAAUGGAAACGUUUGCUAAUACCUUAUACUCCUUAUUAACAGAAGUUAAUAAGGGAAAGAUUUAUUGGUAAGAGAUUAGCCUGUAUUGUAUCAGUUAGUUGGUGGGGUAAUGGCUUACCAAGACUAUGACACAUAGCUGGUUUGAGAGGAUGAUCAGUCACACUGGAACUGAGACACGGUCCAGACUCCUACGGGAGGCAGCAGUGGGGAAUAUUGCACAAUGGACGAAAGUCUGAUGCAGCAACGCCGCGUGGAGGAUGACACAUUUCGGUGCGUAAACUCCUUCUAUAUGAGAAGAUAAUGACGGUAUUAUAUGAAUAAGCACCGGCUAACUCCGUGCCAGCAGCCGCGGUAAUAC